AGUAAUGUUCCCCAACCUCCGACUGAAGACAACAAGAACUCAAAAAUCAAAACUGGCAAGGAUCCCGAACUACCUUCAGUCAAGGUAGAACAAACACUAGACGCUGCAGCUGAGCUAGCGAAGCUGGAAUCAGAAUUUGGGAAAGUCGGUCAUGACUACUCAGCAGAAGACAUUGGUGAAUGGGAGUUCGACGAGCUCGAAAGGGAACUGAAGUCAGGUGACUCAAAGAACUAGCUAUCAUAUUAUGUACUCAUGAAUGAACCAACCUAAUUUACUAUGAAGAAAGGUCAUAGGUUUGCUUUUGGCAUACCCCCGAAACUGCAUGAUUUGAUCAUAAUCUUUCCUUUGU
rnacentral:misc_RNA from 1 species